GGGGUGAGUAAUGCUUGGGAAUCUAGCUUAUGGGGGGGGAUAACUACGGGAAACUGUAGCUAAUACCGCGUAGAAUCGAGAGAUGAAAGUGUGGGACCUUCGGGCCACAUGCCAUAGGAUGAGCCCAAGUGGGAUUAGGUAGUUGGUGAGGUAAAGGCUCACCAAGCCGACGAUCUCUAGCUGGUCUGAGAGGAUGACCAGCCACACUGGGACUGAGACACGGCCCAG
rnacentral:rRNA from 1 species